ACCCAUCUAAGUGUUUUAUUUCUUCUCAUAAAACAGUUUUCUAUGGCAUCUCGUGCUCAUCUCGUGUUCAUAAAGUGUUAUACAGUCAGAUGGAGAAUAAUGAAUUUGGAUCGGAUCUGGUGAUGAUCGCUCCCGUUUCGUAAGGUGGGCUAAUAAUUAAAGGAGCAUUGUUAGUGGGCCUGUUGCUGUUAAGUUCGCGGGCUUGUGGGCUUCGUGGACGGAAGUCUGGAAGGCUGGUCAUAUCCCAGCAUUGUAAGUGGUGUUUGUGUUAAGAAAGGGCUUUUAACAAUUGUUCUUAGUUCCAGAUUCUUCCUCUCGAUUCUCUCUGUUAUUCACCUAGGGUUUCUCAUAGUUUUUUUGUUUUCAGUCGAUUAUUGAUCUUGUGUUAAAUCUUGCGUCUGUUAGUUCUUGUGAGAGUUUUAGAUCAUCGGUGUCUGGUUUGUUUGUUGUGACGGAGAUCAAGAAUUGAAAGUGUAGUUUUACUAUGGUGGCUGGCGACGCCGUUGAUGUCAUCUAGGGUUUUUACUUACAGCAGCCAAAGUCCAAAAGAAACCAUGGCGUUUGAUUUCUACAUCAACACAAUCUUCGUCUACGUUCAAUGACGUUUUCCUAAGCUUUAGAUUCGAAUCGACACUGCGAUUGUUUCCGGUAGGGACCUGAAAAAGCUGAAACACAAGCGUAUCUACCACCCGGAUUAUAACACAUUGCUUGCGGGUGGGCAAAGGUCGUACGAAUAUGCGGCAAGGAUUGGAGAAGAGAUUGGUGGGUUGAGCAAGUUCUGGGCCAACAGCCCUCAUCCGAAGGGGUUCAUCCCUGGUGCUGGGCACUGGGAAAGGAUUAUAGAACAAGGCAACGGAAGGUGCUUUUACGAUGUUAAGCCUCGGAAUAUAAGCGAAAAUGAGAACCUCAAAGGCCUCCAAUUUUAACGAGUCGUUUUUUUCAUGCCAAAAGAGCCUAAAGUUGAUGAGGUUGAGAACCUCCUUGACCAUGGCAAACACCUACUCGACGCCAAACAAAACGCACAACUUCACUUUUUUGCCAACGCAAAAGCCAAGUAUCACGCGUGGGACCUUGAGAAGACCGCCAGGAAAUACGGCUUGUUUUGCAACAAGCAAAUCCGUAUACCAUGGGGUGGGUUAAAGCGGAUUGGAUUAUAUAACAUCGUUUCAUUUUCGUUUGAGGAGGAGGCCGAGGCCGAGGAGGAGGAGGAGGAAGCGGGAGGAAAGUGAUUUCGUUUUCGGAAACUGUCUUUUGUAAACGCGUAGUAGUAGUAGUAGUUAACUGCCUUAGUACGUGUAUAUAUAUGACUUGGUCAAAACCAUUGUGAAGGUAGUUAAGAAGUUGUGAUUAAUGCUACACUUGCAUCCUUCAAUGGGUGAAAUUUGUUCCGAGUAAAGUUUUACUACACUUUCUUGCA